CCCUUAGACGUUCUGGGCCGCACGCGCGCUACACUGACCAGUGCAACAAGCAUCCGUCCUUGGCCGACAGGCCCGGGCAAUUUUUGAACGCUGGUCGUGAUGGGGAUAGACUUUUGCAAUUUUUGGUCUUCAACGAGGAAUUCCUAGUAAACGCAAGUCAUCAACUUGCAUUGAUUACGUCCCUGCCCUUUGUACACACCGCCCGUCGCACCUACCGAUUGAAUGGUCCGGUGAAGCCUCCGGAUUGGCGCGCACCUCGGUGCCGCCGAGAAGUUGGCUAAACCUUACCAUUUAGAGGAAGGUGAAGUCGUAACA
rnacentral:rRNA from 1 species